rnacentral:rRNA from 1 species
GACGAACGCUGGCGGCGUGCUUAACACAUGCAAGUCGAACGGAAAGGCCCUGCUUUUGUGGGGUGCUCGAGUGGCGAACGGGUGAGUAACACGUGAGUAACCUGCCCUUGACUUUGGGAUAACUUCAGGAAACUGGGGCUAAUACCGGAUAGGAGCUCCUGCUGCAUGGUGGGGGUUGGAAAGUUUCGGCGGUUGGGGAUGGACUCGCGGCUUAUCAGCUUGUUGGUGGGGUAGUGGCUUACCAAGGCUUUGACGGGUAGCCGGCCUGAGAGGGUGACCGGCAACAUUGGGACUGAGAUGCGGCCCAGACUCCUACGGGAUGCAGCAGUGGGGAGUAUUGCACAAUGGGCGGAGGCCUGAUGCAGCAACGCCGCGUGCGGGAUGACGGACUUCGGGUUGUAAACCGCUUUCGCCUGUGACGGAGCGUGAGUGACGGUAAUGUGUAAAGAAGCACCGGCUAACUACGUG